UUCCUUUUGAAGCAGAAACUGCUUCUUUUGGGGUUUUCUUAACCCUUUGGCCGCCGUUCAGCCCACGUCCCAAUUUCGUCGGAGGGGACACCAGCUCGACGACUCCGGCGAAAGGAAAUCGAGGAGAGUUUGGCGCGCGUGGAGAGGGGUCGGCCCCGAGUCGUGCGGCGCUUGGAGAGGCCGCUGGAGGCGAGGGCUGUUGCGACGCUGAGGGCUUGUUGCGGCGCUCCCUAUUGCUUAGGGCUAGGAUUCCUUUCUCUUUUGUUUUUUUUUUUUUGUGUGUUUUGGGCUGAUGUCUGUGUUGGGCUUAGGUUGGUUUUGUUAUUGGGCCACUUAUUUGUUGGGCCUUAGACGAGUUUAGGCCUGCUAUUAAAAAACUGAAAUUGCCUGCUUUGUUUUUUUGUUUGGGCCCGGGCAAUUUGGGCUUGUACAUUUAGCAUGAAAAAAUUCAUGGUAUGUACAUUAUAUGUUGAUUAGGAAUUUUUUUUAUGAAA